GAGCUUGCUCUUGAUGACGAGUGGCGCACGGGUGAGUAACGCGUAUGCAAUCUACCUAUAACUGAGGAAUAGCCCAGAGAAAUUUGGAUUAAUACCUCAUAAUAUUAUUAUUUGGCAUCAUUUAAUAAUUAAAACUCCGGUGGUUAUAGAUGAGCAUGCGUUCUAUUAGCUAGUUGGUGAGGUAAGAGCUCACCAAGGCUACGAUAGAUAGGGGGCCUGAAAGGGUGAUCCCCCACACUGGUACUGAGACACGGACCAGACUCCUACGGGAGGCAGCAGUGAGGAAUAUUGCACAAUGGAGGAAACUCUGAUGCAGCCAUGCCGCGUGCAGGAUGAAGGCCCUAUGGGUUGUAAACUGCUUUUUUACAAGAAGAAACCUUGGUACGUGUACCAACUUGACGGUAUUGUAAGAAUAAGCACCGGCUAACUCCGUGCCAGCAGCCGCGGUAAUACGGAGGGUGCAAGCGUUAUCCGGAUUUAUUAGGUUUAAAGGGUUCGCAGGCGG
rnacentral:rRNA from 1 species